AUAGCCUUUUAUUCCAUGAACUAGAGAUGAUUGCUCUAGAAAAUUUGCUGGGUCACUUUUAAUUAUUAAAAGAGCAAAUUCAUGGUUUCUUUGUGGUCGAGCCACACUGUAUAGUAUUUUCUUUUUUGUUCUAUUUAAAUUUAGGUGGGUUAUUAAUACUUCCUGGCAGUGGUUAUGAGAGAAGGAUGACUGAGAAUUUGGUAGACAAGUUAAUCUCAUUUUUACUGUGUUUCUAGAGCCACCCACUUUCCCUUCUUACAAAUUGACACCAAAAAGUCAUUACCAGUUUUGCAGAGACCAAAGUACUGACCUCCUGCAUCCUUCUGUCUUACCUUCUGCCCUGUUUUUGCUGCUCUCUGCUUUUCUUCUGCACAUUUCUCAUUUUUCAGCUUCUCUCACCAGACUGUCAUUCAGGGCACCUCCACACAUGACUCCUGCCUGCAGGCACCUUUGUGGGAUUGAUGUUAUUUAAGGCCAGGGAGUCAGUAAAGAGUGGCCACUGACUCAAUGAGAUGAAACCAUGAGGUACCUAGCAAAACCCUAUUUCCAGCCCCAUACCCUGCAAAUGAACACGCUCUUAAUGUCAGUAAAUAAUCAGUUGAACAUCAAGACCACUGAAGCCUGAUGGAUUUGUAUAAUGGAUCUUUAAGAAGUCCCACAUCUCUGUGAAGACAUUUUAUCUGUAUUUUUAGCAGAAAUUGUGAUAUCCCAUCCUGCUGUAACAAGGCCCAGCAGAAACUGGAUUAGACAAAUUCAACCCAAAUUCAUUUUUGCUCUUCUGUAGCAAAUUUCAGUCUUGUCAAAAAGAAAUAUUGCCUGGCACUGACAAGGGAGGAAAUCCCAAGGAAAGCAGAGCACAUGGAAUGGACAUCCUGUAAGAAGGUCAUUUUCAGACAGAGAUGUUUUUGGAGCGGUGGAAUACAUAGCAAAUAUGUAUGGGGAGCCUUCUUUUGCAUAGGGAACUAUUAACUGUGGAUGAGGUCUGAGACCAAAUUACUGAGAAAAAGUUAGUUUGUUUUACUUGUCAAGCAAAUACAAAACUGGCAGUGGGCUAGCGAGUGUUGUAUAGGGUGGGAUGUUUGAUGAUUUGAGGAAACAGUGGAGAGACUCCAAAAGGGUGGGCAAUGUGGCUGAAUUGAGCAAAAAUAGGCAGUAGCAGGUGUCAGUUGUGUACAGACUGCAGGAGAUACAAGGUGGUUAUGGCUGAGGGUAACACUGUUGCCUCAGCUGUGGGAUGCAAUGCUGACAGUGGGUCUAGAGUAACGCUUCUGCACUAACCCAGACUCCCCAGAUGUCACCUUCAGCAAAGCACUUCUUACUGACACAAAAAGAGUAAUGGGUCUCUAGCAGAGCAGGACUCACACAGGUCUGCAAAGCCCAGGAGCAUUUUGGUUCAGGGCUUCUUUAGAACCAUAACCCUAACUUGAAUUCAGAUUUCUCAUCAGGGCCACAAAUGCUGCUGGGAAACCUCAGCUCCAACCAGCCACUCAGAUUAAGGUUAGGGUUCAGAGAGACACAAAGCCAACAGGGACUUCAGGGGCACUGGUUAGGCAUGCCAAGGGAGCAAAACACUGCACCAACAUUGCUUCUUGCUUGCCUUUCUCAGCUAGGACAUCCAUGGUACUGGGGCCUUAGCCUCAGAUCCAACCUGCUGUUCAGAUUAGGGUUAGGGUUCAGAGAUCUAAAACACCUACAACUCCAGGGACUCUGACACUGCAAAAGGCAUGGCAAGGGAAGAGGAACUGCACCAACGCUGCUCCCUCCACAUCUUUCUCAUCUGGGAAACCCAUGGAGCUGGGGUCCUCAGCCUCAGCUCCAACCUGCCAUUCAUAUAAGGGUUAGGGUUCAGAGAGCCACAAUGGCUACAGCUUCAGCAGCCCUGACACUGCAAAAGGCAAGCCACGGGGACCACAGCACUGCACUAUCAUUCCUCCUUCCACAUCUUUCUCAUAUGGGCCACCCAAGUUCUUUGAACCCUAAAUAUAAUCCCAAUUACCCACUUCUAGUGAUCCAUGUGGAGGCUAGUGAUACAGAUAGCAGUAGCCUGGAGAAC